GGUAACAUGGCCGAGCGGUUAAGGCGGUGGACUUAAGAUCCACUUAUCGUAAGAUAGCGUGGGUUCGAUCCCCACUGUUACCA
rfam:Nosema bombycis CQ1 unplaced genomic scaffold NBO_24, whole genome shotgun sequence.